AAGUACAUUGAAGCUAUAAAAGGACAAAUAGGGAAGAGAGAGAAAGAAAGUGGAGAGAUUAUUAUAGUAUAAAAUGUAAGUUAAGAGUUAGUUGUGGCUCUUAAAAAUAAAGAAGGAAGUGGGGCUCUUAAUGAUUUGAGGAGCAACUAAGAGUCUAUUGGAGUUGCAUUUUCACUCCUCUUCUUUAAAUUUUGAGUUAAGAGCUCAAAUAAGGAGGCUAUUGGAGAUGCUCUUA
rnacentral:lncRNA from 1 species